rnacentral:rRNA from 1 species
UACGUAGGGGGCGAGCGUUGUCCGGAUUCAUUGGGCGUAAAGGGUGCGUAGGUGGCAUGGUAAGUCGGGUGUGAAAUCCCGGGGCUCAACCCCGGAACUGCACUCGAUACUGCCGUGCUCGAGUACUGGAGAGGAGACUGGAAUUUACGGUGUAGCAGUGAAAUGCGUAGAUAUCGUAAGGAAGACCGGUGGCGAAGGCUAGUCUCUGGACAGUUACUGACACUGAGGCACGAAGGCCAGGGGAGCAAACGGG